UGAACGCUGGCGGCGUGCCUAACACAUGCAAGUCGAACGGAGCUAUGAAGAAAGAUACUUCGGUAAAUGGAAGCAUAAGCUUAGUGGCGGACGGGUGAGUAACGCGUGGAGAACCUGCCCUGUACCGGGGGAUAACAGAGGGAAGCUUCUGCUAAUACCGCAUAAGCGCACGGCACCGCAUGGUGCAGUGUGAAAAAACUCCGGUGGUACAGGAUGGCUCCGCGUUGGAUUAGCUUGUGGCGGGCAACGGCCACCAAGGCGACGAUCCAUAGCCGGCCUGAGAGGGUGAACGGCCACAUUGGGACUGAGACACGGCCCAGACUCCUACGGGAGGCAGCAGUGGGGAAUAUUGCACAAUGGGGGGAACCCUGAUGCAGCGACGCCGCGUGAAGGAAGAAGUAUCUCGGUAUGUAAACUUCUAUCAGCAGGGAAGACAAUGACGGUACCUGCAUAAGAAGCCCCGGCUAACUACGUGCCAGCCGCUGC
rnacentral:rRNA from 1 species